GGAGUUAGCCGGUGCUUCUUCUGUGAGUGAUGUCCUUCCUGCCGGCUAUUAACCCGCAGGCCUUCUUCCUCACUGAAAGUGCUUUACAACCCGAAGGCCUUCUUCACACACGCGGCAUGGCUGGAUCAGGGUUGCCCCCAUUGUCCAAUAUUCCCCACUGCUGCCUCCCGUAGGAGUCUGGGCCGUGUCUCAGUCCCAGUGUGGCUGAUCAUCCUCUCAGACCAGCUACGGAUCGUCGCCUUGGUGAGCCGUUACCUCACCAACCAGCUAAUCCGACAUAGGCUCAUCCGAUAGCGCGAGGCCCGAAGGUCCCCCGCUUUCCCCCGUAGGGCGUAUGCGGUAUUAGCCUGGGUUUCCCCAGGUUAUCCCCCACUACCGGGCAGAUUCCUAUGCAUUACUCACCCGUCCGCCGCUCGCCACCAGGGAGCAAGCUCCCCGUGCUGCCGCUCGACUUGCAUGUGUUAGGCCUGCCGCCAGCGUUCAAUCUGAGCCAGANNAACAACUNACANAGACGGCGGCGUCGACGACGGCGACUAGAG
rnacentral:rRNA from 1 species